rnacentral:rRNA from 1 species
GAAGGUGGCGACCGUUGUUCGGAAUCACUGGGCAUAAAGAGCUCGUAGGCGGUGAGGAAAGUCGGGUGUGAAAUCCCUCGGCCCAACCGAGGAACUGCGCUCGAAACUGCCUUGCUUGAGGACGGAAGGGGACCACGGAAUUCCUGGUGGAGCGGUGAAAUGCGUUGAUAUCAGGAGGAACACCGGCGGCGAAGGCGGUGGUCUGGUCCGUUUCUGACGCUGAGGAGCGAAAGCUAGGGGAGCAAACGGGAUUAGAUACCCCGGUAGUCCUAGCCGUAAACGAUGGGAACUAGGUAGGGGGGUACCCAAUGCCUCCCUGCUGGAGUUAAUAUAUUAAGUUCCCCGCCUGGGGAGUAUAGUCGCAAGGCUG